AGGAGGCAGCAGUGGGGAAUAUUGGACAAUGGGCGCAAGCCUGAUCCAGCAAUACCGCGUGUGUGAAGAAGGCCUGAGGGUUGUAAAGCACUUUUAAUCGGGAGGAACAUCUGGUGGCCAAUACCCAUCAGUCUGACAUUACCGAUAGAAAAAGCACCGGCUAACUCCGUGCCAGCAGCCGCGGUAAUACGGAGGGUGCAAGCGUUAAUCGGAAUUACUGGGCGUAAAGCGUGCGUAGGCGGCUGCUUAAGUCAGAUGUGAAAGCCCCGGGCUUAACCUGGGAACUGCAUUUGAUACUGGGCAGCCAGAGUUGAGUAGAGGAAAGGGGAAUUUCAGGUGUAGCGGUGAAAUGCGUAGAGAUCUGAAGGAACACCAGUGGCGAAGGCGCCUUUCUGGACUCAAACUGACGCUGAGGUACGAAAGCGUGGGUAGCAAACAGGAUUAGAUACCCCGGUAU
rnacentral:rRNA from 1 species